AUGCAGGAAGAAAGAGGAGCAAGAAGAGAGGUCAGGGGCCCAGGAAGGGAGGGAGGCCCUGGAGGGGAUGCAUCUGCAUGGUGUAGAUUCUGCUUUCUAGAAUUACUCCCAGGGCUGACCAGAAGCUGGGACAAGCCCAGAGAGCAUCAAAAGUCAAAGCAGCCACGCAGAGCCAGGGUGCCCUGCCCUCCCCUGGGGAGACCAGCCCAGGUAGGCACACAAUGCCUUUCCUCCCGACUGAGCACUGAGCACUGCAAAGCCGCUCCCAGGCCCAGGGAGGCCUGCCCCCACACGGGAAGACGGAAGGAAACUCCCAGCCUAGGAGUUCCUGAGAAGGAACAGAGAGGCGGUGUGGGAGAUGACCAGUUGCCAAGAUAUCGAGUUCCUCGGGUUCCAUGCACGCUGUUCAUUGUCUCCAGCAGAAGGAGGAGAAUUUGGAAGUCACUUGUGGACUGCAUUAAAAGAACAUUUAAACUCAAAUCUCCCCAAAUGUAUGUAGAUCAUUUAUCUCCUUCGACACCUCCUUCGUUAGCCAUUAUUUUAUUAAUGUUUCAACGUGUCUUUUUAAAUGUUGGGUGUUAGAGAUUUGUUUGUGCCUGGGUUAGUUGGCGAGCCUCAUUUUGCCAGAAAUCAGCUGUGGAAAGGCAGGUUCCCAUUGCCUUUGAAUAAUUUGAAGAAGGGGAGAGAUGGCUGGAGAGCCGCCCCCAUCAGUAAAGUGGAAGCAGGAGACUGGUUCUCGGAGGCCAGAGUUGGUGAGUAGCUGGGGCUAGCCCACGUGGGCGUGUUGGAUAGAAGUCUUCCCUGCCAAAAUUAACAUACGAAUCAAAAGUUUUCAUAUAGAUAAGCAAAACCAGUCAGAAGAUAAAAUGGAAGAUGAGAAAGGUUAUGAUGGCAAAGAAGAAAGUAUCAACUAUCUAGGCUUAAAUGUAAAAAGAAAUGUCGAAAACUUGUGUGAGAAAAACCAUAAAACACUACCAACGCCCGUGGAGGUACACUCGAACGAAUGAAACCGUGUGUUCUGGGUGAGGAAGGGUCAGCAUCAUGAAGGAGUUAGUUCUACACAGGUCAAAGUCUUAAGUUAUUGCAAUCCAGAGAAAAAUAUUAUCUUUUCUUGGUGGUGGGAGAGCACGGCUAGGUGAGUUAACGAUUACAAAGUUUGUUUGGAUAAAGGAAGAAGCAAGAAUAGCCAGGAAAAAAGCCUGAAAAAGAAAAGCAAUUGUGGGGAAGGCGGGCAGCCCUCUCAGACCUUAAAACAUAUUAUGGAGCCUCUCUAAGUGAAGCAAUUUAGUGUUGAUGGUGAAUAAAAAGACAGACCAAUGGAAUGGAAUACGGAAU
rnacentral:lncRNA from 1 species